AGUGUAUCGAUUUAACAUCUCGGUAUCGGUUCUGUUAGCAAUGUUGUAGCAAUACCUCGCUGAUACGGGGGUGGAUCCGAAGCCUCUAGAAGGUUAACAUAAGCUCUCCACCUCCUACUCCUACUUAAUAUGUCCCCGUCGUACAGAACGGUAACAUGUCUCUCAAUUAUCCAAGCUUGGGUAUACGGGGAAACCCAUCCCCUUGGGCGGAUGGGUUGCAUGGCUAAAUUGAGAGGGGGGUAGAUGAUUGACCUUCAUGACUUUAGCUGGGAUCGUCUGUUCUCCAUGUUAGAAGCGGCUUCCCCCCAGCGUAUGUCUCUUCCCGAAGGGCUGCACUGGCUUUUUCCGUCAUGGCUCGCUGCAGGACUCUUAAAAACCAACGAGCAUAGGCCCUAUGACGAGACUGGUGGUUAGAGGAGAGGCCUUGCAAGCCACCCUCGUAAAAAAAACACCAAAGCAACGAACAGUCAACAAGAAGAAGAACCGUAUCGGACCUAUCGAUUUAGACCCACGCAUGGAAAAAGGACUUACGAUUGGAAGCUCGGAACAUGAAACUGCAAAACCUUCUCAUCGGAUGUGAAGACCCGAAUUGCGUUCGAUGAGGUCUGGGCCCGGUUUCGAAAUAGUAGCACUUCAAGAGGUAUGCUGGAAAGGCGUGACGGUGCGUCAUUACCGUAGCAACUGCACGAUCUACCAGAGCGGCGAAGAGACGCGCGAGCUCGGUACUGCGUUCAUGGUGCUGCCCAACCAGCAAAACCGAAGCUAUUGGAAAACUUUCCUGUGUGCCAAAACGAGAGGGCAUGUCUUCUUUCUCUAGAUUUUGGACGGCACAACGCCGAUCGUGUGGCCUAUGAACGAAAAACUGGAGAAGGGGAAACCGAUAUCCUUCGAGUAACACACACGCAUGCAUCUGCAUGCGUAUUCCGCUGAACCGAAACUACCCAUCUCUCUCGAUCUCCCUUGAUUUUUCUGCUAUCGCGCUCAUCCGGGUGUUAGGCAUCCACAGUCUGUCCAGAACUUUCACUGUGGAAGGAUGUGUUGGAGUGAUGUGUGAUUUCUUGUGUCCCGUAUUUUGCUCGUUUACGUUUUGUGCCGUGUUCCUUCUUCUUCAAUUAUGGAUUGAUUUAUCCUUGUAAAUUUCUGAGUUACAGGUGCACGCGCAUGUUAAUCGACGGUUGCCAACAUCCCGCAAAACGAUCGACGGAAGGAAAACGGUGUCCGGUUUUAAAAUAUCAAGCUCUUUCGUAGAAGAGCGCACAUCAAGGACGCCAAGGAUACGGCUAAACAUGCGCAGCACCAGUCCGUGACGUCAUUUCCAGACAGGCGCCGGCUGAACACGCGCAGCACCAGUCGAGGAUAUCCUAGCGCAGAGGGUAGAAGGAAGAUCGAGAGGAAGGGUAAUAGAAAGCAACCGCAGCAUUUGGAAGGGGUGAAGCAUCCUGCCGUAUACAGAGUGUGAGUGUUCCAAAACGUAUGUGGAAAGAGUAACACCAAUAAACA